AUAGGGAUCUAUGGGGUUUCUAUGGGGUUCUAUGGGGCUCUAUGGGGCUCUAUGGGUCUCUAUGGGGUCUCUAUGGGUCUCUAUGGGAUCUCUAUGGGGCUUUGUGGGGCUCUGUGGGUCUUUAUGGGGUCUCUAUGGGGCUCUAUGGGGCACUGCUGGGCACUAUGGGGUCUCUAUGGGGCUCUGUGCAGCUCUAUGGGGUUUCUAUGGGGCAGAAUGGGUCUCUACAGGAUCUCUAUGGGGCUCUAUGGGGUCUCUAUGGGGUUCUGUGGGGCUCUGUGGGGUCCCACCCCACACUUAUGGGGGUCCCAACCCAAACUUAUGGGUCCCACCCCACACUUAUGGGUCCCCACCCCACACUUGGGGGUCCCACCCCAAACUUAUGGGUCCCACUGCACACUUAUGGGUCCCACCCCACACUUGGGGGUCCCAAGCCAAAACUUAUGGGUCCUCACCCCAAACUUAUGGGUCCCACUGCACACUUAUGGGUCCCACCCCACACUUGUGGAUCCCACCCCACACUUAUGGGGGUCCCAAGCCAAAACUUAUGGGUCCCACCCCACACUUAUGGGUCCCACCCCACACUUGGGGUCCCACCCCACACUUAUGGGGGUCCCACGCCAAACUUAUGGGUCCCACCCCACACUUGUGGAUCCCACCCCACACUUGUGGGUCCCACCCCAAACUUAUGGGUCCCACUGCACACUUAUGGGUCCCACCCCAAACUUGUGGGUCCCACCCCACACUUAUGGGUCCCACCCCACACUUGGGGGUCCCACCCCACACUUAUGGGGUCCCAGCCCACACUUAUGGGUCCCCACCCCACAAGCUCCUGUCGGGACACGUCGCUCCCCUGUCGCGUUGGGGCGUCAACCCCAUAAGUUCCCCCCCACACACACCCCACACCCCACACCCCACACCCCACACCCUACCCUACAGCUAUGGGGCGGCGCUUAUGGGGCCGAGGGGAGGCGUCGCGACCCCCCGCCCGCCCCACAUUUCACCCCAUUGAAGCUGUCCCUAUGCUGACCCCAUAAGCGGGGGAGGUGGGGGAACCCGUCGGGUGACUCCCGGCUCCGCCCCACACAUCCCCACCCCAGAAAUGUGGGGUGAAAUCGGUGGGGCUGAGAGAGGCCGGGAUCCCAUGGGCGCCCCACAGAUCGCCUUCCUCUUCCUCCUCUGCCUCUUCUUCAUCCUCGUCCCGAAAUCCGCCCCGCUGCCCCACUGCGAUGGGGACGGCUGGGAGAACGCAGCGCACGCAGGUGGGUGUGGGGCUGCCCCAUAAGUGUGGGGCCGCCCCANNNNNNNNNNNNNNNGGGGGGAAGGUGGGAAGAUGUGGGGCAGACCUACGUCUAUGGGGCGGCGUUGGGGACGUGGGGGCGCUAUGGGGCAGGGUGAGAUCUAUGGGGUU
rnacentral:lncRNA from 1 species